rnacentral:rRNA from 1 species
AACCCCUACCUUUAGUUGCCAUCAGGUUAAGCUGGGGACUCUAAAGGAACUGCCUACGCAAGUAGUGAGGAAGCGGGGAUGACGUCAAAUCAGCACGGCCCUUACGUCCAGGGCUACACACGUGCUACAAUGGCCGAUACAGAGGGCAGCUACCUGGUGACAGGAUGCAAAUCUCCAAAAGUCGGUCUCAGUUCGGAUCGGAGUCUGCAACCCGACUCCGUGAAGUUGGAUUCGCUAGUAAUCGCGCAUCAGCCAUGGCGCGGUGAAUACGUUCCCGGGCCUU